rnacentral:lncRNA from 1 species
UAAUGUAACCCUCGUUAAAGAAAGAAAAACAAAACAGUAUUGAAGUGAUCAGAAUUGAUGAGUGAGAUAUAGUGUGAAGAGGGUGUGCAGAGAGCGUUGGUAUGUAUAGAGAACCGAAUUCAUUGAAGUUAGGGACGAACAUAAACAGUGUCAAAGUAAAAUAUUAGAGAGAUUUAAAUGUUUUCUUUUAGGGACUAUUGUUGCACUGUGUGUCACGUUCAAAGACAAACAAAAUUUUACUCCAAGCUUUGAUAACCAAUUUCAGAAUACUAGCAGAUUCAUUUGAAUGAAGGAUUAAUAAGAAUCGAAGAACUUUUUCUUUGGGACAAUUGAAGAAUAUCUGUAAUUGGUGUUCUACACAUACUCUAAAACCUCUGGCUAAUAAUAUCGGAUCUCUUCUUUCUUUCUUUGAGCAAUUCCGACCUUUAUAUCUGAUACCAUAUUAGAAAUGGUGGUUGGACCUAAUACAACCUCACAAAAUCGGUUUGUAAGGCGAGGAGUGUCUCCUCUUUAUAUACUCUUCUCAAAAGUUGUAUCUAUCCGAUGUGAGACUUAAGUUUUUCCCAAUACAUCCACAUCACGCCCAACACUCUUUGGACUUGGUGCUUGAAUAGGUAGAUCACCCUUGAAUUCGAUAAGCUCUAGUAAUACCAUGUAUCCAAAAGAAAUGAGAAAAAAUAUGCAAUUCAUAGCGAUAAAUAACACUACAAAAUACUAUGGAAAGGUAAAUAAAGAAGGGAUCAUCAAAACUACUUUUACAAAUACACAAUUGUCUCAUAAGAUAUAUUUAGUUAUCGCAACUAUCCCUACCAUCAUUAACUAUUUAUCUGCACCACUUGCAGACUCUGAUGUUGUCACAUUAGAUAGAUAAGACUCUUGAUAAGAGUUUAUAUAGAGGAGGCAAUCCUCACCUUAUGAACCGGUUUUUAAGGAUGAGUUAGGCCUCCAAUUUCAUUAUAGAUAAUCACCGUCCUUUGUAGCUACAGUCGCUGCUUUAACUUCAUUGCAAUGGUUAAUGAAUUUGCUCACCUCACGAUCAGCAUCCAUAUCCUUCGUAACUUUCGUUGGCUUCACAAAUCUCUUCCCUUUGCGAGUUUGAGGUACUUUGCCAUGACGAUUAGCAUGAAUCUUUUUAGUUUACAAGAACAAACUCCGUUCAUAGAUGUGGUACUGGUAAUAUCUUUUACACGUGUAUAUAAAAGAACACAUUAGAAAGGAGUAAAACUUUUAUAGUCAUAACCAAAUAUAUUUAGAUUUAAACACAAACGAUAAGAAGUUAAAAGUGGUUGAUAAAAACAAGUUAAAAGAGGAAAGUUUUUUAUUUCAAUAAUAAUAAAUAAAUAGUAAUUUUUUU